UGGUGUUCUCCAAGAAUAAAAAGUGUAAGGCUAUAAAUAGAUUUGAAUAGUUCGUGAGUCAGAAACAAAUUUUCGCUGUCCCACAUGGAACCACGGACUUAGAUCUAAUAUAAUUCUGUGAUGGAACUGAGAUUUUGUUACAGCUAUAUUUGGACCUAAACAGAGAUGUUCAGGGUAAAUUUGCACGUUUUGGGGGUUAAAAUUGAAAAAAAGCCACUCCUACUCGGAACACCUCAGUCCUGUGUGCCCUUUUGGUGACCACAUUACGACUUCCCGAGUUUCGUCCCCUUGGACGCGAACUUUCUGUAAAUAUUCCUGAACUAAUAAAAUUGUUUCAUCCAAAUAUAGUAUAUAUCUACCACCUUGUUAAACAACUCGUUAAAUUAUUUGCUGUACACGCUGUGUAUAUAUAUAUAUAACCAAUCGGAUGUGUUGGUUCGUCACGCUCAAAUGACUAACGUACUCGUCUUCCUGUUUUGUCGUUCAGAUCGCGUCAAGUCGUUCAUAAACCCUUACCAGUCGAGCUGAGGAUAUUUCUACUAGACCUAAAUCAAGAUGUCGAUGUCUGGAAUUGGAAUAAGUGAUGAUUUGAAAAACACCCUGACUGAUUUUAAGUUGAACAAGCUGGAUGGCACUGAAUACUUAUUAGUGAAGCUCAGUGAGGACAAAAAACAGGUAGUUGUGGAAAAAAAAGGACCCAAAAGGCCAGACGAUGGUAAGUUUUUAAUUGUUUAGCUCACCUAGCCUGAUGGGCCAAAACGACUUUUGUUCCAUCAAUUUUUUCAUCAAUUUUUCAGUGUUGUACAUUAUAAACCAAGGGAAUGUGCCCAAUGGGGACAUGGGAUCAGGGCCUAAUAAGGGGAAAAUGGGUUAAUCCCUGAUAGAUUACUGCCAUUGAAGGCUUUUUGACAUGAAAAAUCACUGAGCCAUGUAAAUGAAGGGUGUGGACCUCCUGGGGUUUGAGGGCCUUUGCCCUCCAAUAAGGGAAAUAGAGGUACAUGUUUCAAAUCUUACUCGUUUUGUAUGAUUGAAGAGAUGUAAAACCAAUUUAGUCUGGAGCAACAUUGGGCAGAAGGAACUCAAUUAUGUAUUGCAUCUUCAAAACCUAUCUCUUUAUUUAUCUCUUUAUAUACACAUGGAGGGAUUUUGACAAUAUUUCCUCUUGUAUAGCCUUAGGCCAAGGUAAUCAUCAGGCCCUAGGGCAGCAGGCAGGGAUCAGUGGAGGCGCACACCCUCGAUAUAUACAAAAUUGAAUUCCCAUAGCCCAAGAGCAGUUUAGCUAAGAAUGGGGUUGAAGGUUGAACUUGGAGGGGGGAGGGGACACUUGGCUCAAGGAUGCUCUAAAUUAAAGUUGGUUAGCAUUCCUUCAUUACUGUGGAAGGAGAAGGAUUUUAAUGAUUUACCUCUUUUAUAACUCCCAGGCGCAGAUACAGAAAUUUAUUUAGGGUGUUUCCCAAACUUUAAAAAUAAAAGCACUUUAGCCACAAUUUUCCAUGCUUAGGAAUAACCAAUUGG